rnacentral:lncRNA from 1 species
AUUUCAAAGGGAACAACUUCGAGUAUCUGCCAUUUGGGGCAGGAAGAAGAAUGUGUCCAGGCAUGUCAUUUGGUUUAGCCUCCAUUAUGCUUCCUCUAGCUCUAUUACUUUAUCAUUUCAACUGGAAACUUCCAAAUGGGAUCAAACCUCAGGAUUUGGAUAUGACAGAAAACUUUGGAUUAGCAAUUAGAAGGAAGGGUGUGUUGUGUUUGAUUCCUACUGUUUACGAUCCCUCACUGCACCAGUCACAGUAGCCAUUAUAAUAUUAACUGCACUUCACGACGAGGGAGAACCGUUUCGUCUAUCAGAAAUAAAAUAUAAUUAAUGGUUCACACUUUCAUAUUACAGAACUUGUCAUUUGUUAUUUUUAUUGUAUCUUUCCGUUCAUAUCAGGUUAUAUAUGGAUACAUAUAUUUCUGUCUUCAAAAUCAAAGCAUGAGGUGUGCGUUUAUUAUUUUUCAAAAGUCUUAUCAAUAUUUGGUAUAGUAGGAGAAAGUUUUAAUACCUAUAUAAGAAAAGAUAGCAACGUAUAUAAGUAUAUAUAUAACGUGUGAUAUAAAAGAAUAUAAAUAUGGAGAAAAUUUCCUUUCAUGUUCACAUUUUUGUCCUCUUUUAAUAAUAAAAUAUAAUAUUUAACUAAUAAAAAUAAAGAUCAACAAAAACUUUUAAAUAAAAUAACAAUUAUUUUAUUAUUAAAUAGAAAUAAUAAUAGUUUCAAAAAUAUCACCACCCACUAUAAUUACAACAACCCGCCAACUACACUUCCAAUGCCCGUUGAAACUAUUAUUGAGCCUAAUAAAAAUUAGGUAAUGUUUUUGUGUGAAUUAUACGUGUAGAAGGUAUCAUUGCUAAAGGAGUGUGGUUCUAUGUUUUAAAUGGAUUGAGAUUAGCACAUGUUACACACAAAUAGAAUUUGGUCGUAGCUUUGGAUGAAACAUAAACUAAGAACUUUUAAUUACUCUUUUUCAGAUUGGCACUUUAACCUUGUCUAAUGCAUCAAGAGUUAUCUGCAAUGGAAGGGGGUGAGCAUAGGUGAGUCUUAUUCGGUGGUGAAGCCUUGACAGGUGGACUUCCCUAGAAGAAUGGGGAAGGAGAUGCCAUAAGUAAGUUAACACAGCUUCUCAUGAGGGAAGAGCCAGGGUUCAGACUUUCGCUAAGCUGGGUUGUGCAGAAAUAGCAUUAGUGGGUGUUUGAAAAGCUGAAGUUUGAGGAUUUGCAGGCUAAGCAUGGAAUCUGUUAUGCUGGUGUUUUUUGAGCCUCACGGAUCUGGUUUUAUAUAAUUGGCAUAGCAAACACUGUCCUGUUAGUUUAAUUCCAUUUGCAUCUAUUUAUGCAACUUGGGGCUCAGCUGGUGUGCCACUCUAGUGUGUUUUCUACCUCUGUUCUUUGCAGCACAGAGGUGUGUAGGGAAGCUAUAGCAUGAUGUAGUAUGGUGCAAUAGGUCUUGAAAGGGAACUAUGAUGCAUAAUAGUUACCUAGCCACUAUAUUUUUCAUAGGAUGCUACAAAUUUGGAAAAUUGAUAAAAAUAGUGCAGUUUACUUUCAAUAUUACACAAAUGGACAAAUGUAGAAAAAAUGAGUCAAAGUUGUCAACAACAUCAAUUAAAUCUACAAUUUGUCCCUUUUUUUUUUAAUUAAAGUUGUCAAUCGGAUUAUCUUCUUGUCCUCGUGGUUGAUCAUCUCUUCAACUCAUCAUUCCUUAAUUCUUCAACUAACUUGCUUCUCAGUCCCACGAUGGACGUCAAAAUGUGCUUACAGGGCCUUCAAAACAAUUAGUAUUCUUCUCCUCUUCUCAGUGUCUUGGACUUUCACUGUUGUCUUGGACUUUGGGUCACAAGGUUCACUAUCUUGGGUUUGGGUUAGUUCUCGGUUGUGGGAUGGACUCUCACUUAUCUUGCUUGGUCAGGUUCAACUCUCGACUUCUAGGCUCAGAAUCAACUCUCGGGUGGAUGUGUGUAUCUGUAAAGGGCUUUAAUGAUAAAGACUCUCACUUAUCUUGCUUGGUCAGGUUCAACUCUCGACUUCUAGGCUUAGAAUCAACUCUCGGGUGGAUGUGUGUAUCUGCAAAGGGCUUUAAUGAUAAAGUCAGAAUCAGUUUGCUUAAUUAUUAGAUAAAAAUCACUUUACUUACCUUUAUAGCAUAUCACUUAUUUAUAGCGCUCACUUAUUGAAUUUUUGAUUUAAUUGAAUUUUUACUGUAAAUAUUUUGAACCUAUGUAUUAAAUUUUGGUUCAGUGUUUUCUGAUUUUAUUAUUUAUUUAUUUUAAUUUAGUUUUUCAUUAUAUUGACGACCUGUCAACCUUUCAACUUAACCACUACACAAACCAAUUCUAAUAUUGCUCAAAUUCGCAUACCAUUAUGAAAUCCCUCCAUCACCAUAAAUUAUAUUUGGACUCUUUUCUUAAGUUUUUUCAGCUCCCAUACUUUGAGUCAAGGGCUUUCCUCCACGGCUUUCACAGUUAAUAUUCUCUCUUUUUUUACUUUAUCCAAAAAUAAAAUUUGGUUUACCUCCAAAAUUAUAUAUAUAUAUAUAUAUAGAAUUAUUUGUUUNNNNNNNNNNNNNNNNNNNNNNNNNNNNNNNNNNNNNNNNNNNNNNNNNNNNNNNNNNNNNNNNNNNNNNNNNNNNNNNNNNNNNNNNNNNNNNNNNNNNNNNNNNNNNNNNNNNNNNNNNNNGGAAAGUCAAUAACUUCUAAGGUGAAUCAUAAGAUACAUAUAUAUUCUGAUUUAAUUAAAAAAAUGCAGCCUAAUAAUAAUUCUAAAUUUUAAAAUCAUUUUUCUAACCGAGAAUUAAAAAUUUAAAUUGACAAAGCUUUUCAGAUUUGUAUCUGUAUAGUUAACCGGAACUGAUUGUAUAAUUACUAAUGUGUCGGUAAUCUCCCCACUUAUUUGAGUUUUUCUUCUCAUUUGUUAAUGUUCGGUCGGGAUUGACCUAAAAAAGAUGCUUUAACGAUCGAGUAAGUACUAUAUGUAAAAAGUGUAUAUUUGUAAACUGAUUAAAACGUAUCUUACACCUCUGCAAAUGGUUCAUUUAUAGUGUUGGUCACGAGUUCUUGUUGUGAUGGGCCGAAUAUCAAUUGUUCAUUGAUGUGUAUCGUGAUCCCUGAUUUAUAGGGAAAUAUAUUCAUAUAUAGGUAUAGUGGUAUAUUUGAAGAAUAUUUGUAUCAUUUUUUAGUUAAUCAGUAUUUAGUUGAUUUAUUGAACAUAUUUCCCGCAUAAUCCAAAACAUGAAUAUGACUCAUAAAGAACUCUUGUAACUGUCGUUGUUGUCAUUUAUUAAGUGUCUUGAAAUGUUGUUUCCUUGACACGGUCGGUCACCAAGGUCGAGACUGGCUCGUCCGGUAUCGAUCAGUACACUUGCCCCAGGCUUGAAGAAAUUAUUAGUUUCUGAAGAGUCGUGAACUGGUUGUACAAUUGUUAAAGUGUCGGUGAUCUCCUCGCUCCUUCCUUCGAGUCUCCUUCCUUCGAGUCUCCUUCCUCAAUUGUUGGUGUUCGGUCGGGUUGACCAAAAAAUGUACUCUGUCGAUCAAGUAAAUACUCUGUGUAAAGAGUGCAUAUUUGUAAAUUGAUUAAAACGUACCUUACACCUCUGGAAAUGGUUUAUUUAUAGUGUUGGUCAUGGGUCCUUGUUGUGAUGGACUGAAUAUCAAUUGUCCAUUAAUGUGUAUCGUGAUCCUUGAUUUACAGGGAGAUAUAUUGGUACAUAGAUAUGUUGGUAUAUCUGAAAAAUAUAUGUAUCAUCUUUCACUUAAUCAAUAUUUAGCUGAUUUGUCGGAGAUACUUCCCACAUAAUCAGGGACAUAAAUAUAAUUCAUAAGAGCUAUUGUGAUUGUCGUUAUUGUCAUUUAUUAAGUAUCUUGAAAUAUUUCUUGAUAUAGUCGGUCAAUCACCAAAAUCGAUACUGACUCGUCAGGUACCAACCGGUAUAAGAUUAAAAACUAAAGAAAAAAAAAGUAUUUUAUCUUUUCUUAGCUAAGCAGAAAAAAUAUGUAAAUUCUUCUUCAAUAAGGAAAUUUUAAACUCUACCAAUAUGUUCAAGGAACUCAAUUAUUUUCCAUGUGUUUAAUGUUGUUGUUAUUUUCCAUGUGUUUAACGUCGUUGGAAAAAGUAAGUAGAUUAAUCUUUGUGUAUUGACAAAGUUUCGUUCUUAAUUGUUACUUGUCAGAGCAUAAAUAUAAUUUUUUUGGUGAUUCAAAAUACAAGUUCAUCAUUUCUCCUAUUUCAAGUCUUAAUAGUCAACAGGACAUAAGAUGUUAUAAAUAGAAACCAGCAUGGCAGCAACUAAUGAAACCUCGUACACAUACAACUUGAGUUGAGAGUUAAAGAGCCUCUUUCAAUAGCUAAUAGGUACCAUGGAAAUCAAUGAACCCUCCUUUUGGGGUAUUACCUUCCUUCUAUUGUUGUUGUUGCCUUGGUUUGCAAAAUAUUUCAAGCCAAAGUUUAGUCACAAACUGCCCCCUGGCCCAAGGAAGUUACCUAUCAUAGGGAACCUGCAUCAACUAGCAGUAGCAGGUUCACUUCCACACGUUGCUAUUCGAGACCUUGCCAAAAAAUAUGGCCCUCUCAUGCACCUUCAACUUGGUCAAAUUUCAGCAGUGAUUGCAUCCUCCCCCGAGAUGGCAAAGGAGAUAAUGAAAACCCAUGAUGUUGCUUUUGCUCAGAGACCCAAAAUUGUUCCAGCUCAGAUUUUCACCUAUGGGGGAUUAGACAUUGCUUUUUCCCCAUAUGGUGACUACUGGAGGCAGAUGAAGAAAAUAAGCAAGUUAGAGCUUCUUAGCGCCAAGAAGGUGCAGUCUUUCUCUUUUAUCAGAGAACAAGCCGCAGCAAAGUUCAUAGAAGCAAUUGAGUCAUCCGCGGGGUCAGAAAUCAACCUUACCAGCAGAAUUUCCAACCUCAUAAGCACUUCUGUGUUCAAGGCAGCUUUUGGGAACAUGAGCGGGGACCAAGACGAGUUUGAGUCUUUGCAGAAGCAUUUAGCGAUACAUCUUGGAGGACUUGACAUCACUGAUUUGUUUCCUUCCAUGGAGUUCAUACAUGUUCUAACUGGUAAAAGGUCCAAGUUGGAGAAAUUGCAGAAGCGGCUUGAUAGGAUCUACGACAACAUUGUUACUCAACAUGAGGAAAAGCUCCCCAGAGUGCAAGAAAGAACCCUGGAAGCAGAAGAGGAGGAUCUUGUUGAUGUUCUUCUUAGAGUCCAAAAAAGUGGGAGCCUCGGGAUCAACAUCACCAUCAAACACAUCAAAGCUAUGGUUUCGGUGAGUCAAUUAAUGCCACAAAAUUAUAUCUAUAAUUUCCACUGCCCACAUAAUUCACCUGAAUUCCUAUCUCCAUAAAUAAAUUAGGAAGAUGAUGGUUUUACAAUUUUUUCAUUCCAUCAAUUCAUAAUUAUUUUAUAAUAAUAGCAAUGUUUUGAAUUAAUAUAAUAUUUUAAUAAAUAUUAGUUCUUUAUCUAUCAUUAUUUAAUAAAUUAUAUAUAUUUAGCAAACUUGUUUCGAAUUUUACUCAAACUUCAGUUAUGGCUUUUAAAAUCUAGAAAGACCAAAAACAUGAAGAUAAUAAUCUCACCAUUCAAACAAAUCGUAAUUUACUAAAGUUGAUAAACAUAUGUAGUGAAUAAUGAUCCUUUAAACAAUUUUAGACUCAUUUCUUUUGUCUCAAAAUAAAAGACUCUUUCGAAAUGUUUGUCCUCUUUAUAAGAUUUUUGUCUAAUCAUCCAUUGUAUUAUUAAUUAUGCUUUCGUCUAAAUACCUAGGUUGGGUUUCGAUGAAGAAUUUUGACAUUUGAAAUGCUUAAAAUUUUUAAUUUUUAAUUUUUUAAAUUAUUUGUCUUGAUAAAUUAAUUCAGUUUUUUUUUAAUUUAGUAUAUUAAUUUCUACUUUAUGUACAAAGACAUAUUCUAAAAAAUAAAUUUUAAUAUAAUAUACUAAAAAAAUUAUUAAAUAAAAGCAAAUCUUAAAGAUAAAAAAUAAUUAAUUAUUAUAUUGAUUAAAACAAUAUAUAAUUUAAUUAAUACACUUAAAAAAAUUACUAAAUAGAAACAAAUUCUAAUGACCAAAAUAAUUAAAUACUAAUUGACUAAAUUAAAUACCAUUUUAUAAACUAAAAAAAUUAUUGGUAUUUAAAAUAGUUUCUUUUAUUAAUAAAAAUUUAUAAAGUAAUUUCUAAAUUUGCAUUUAAUAAUUAGCUAUCAAAAUUUUAGUAUUAAUAGCUAUGUAGCACAGAUACGGAUACAGAUACUGAUACAACACAGAGAUAUGUAUAAUUUCUAAAAUGUAGGACAUGGGGACACGGAUCUAUAUAUUAUAUAAUUUUGAAUUAUAUAAAUUGAAAAUAAAUAUUUAUGUGCAAAAGUAUGUUUCAGAUUCUUUUGGGAGCAAGAAGAUAUUUUUCAUGACUAGUUCAAAAGAAUUUGUUCCUUAUUUUUAUAAUCAUAAUAAAAAUUUAUACAAUAAAUUUGAGUUUUUAGAAAAUUACUGUAUUUAUACCUUUUAAAAUUGUGUUAGAACCGUGUUAUAAUUUUAAAAAAUACAACAAAUAUUUUUUGAAUUAAACACUUUACCAAUAAGUGUCAUAUGAGUGUCGACACUGAUACGUGUGUCCGACACGGAUACGUAUGUCCGACACGGAUACGUCUAUAUAAGAUAAGUGUCUGAGCUUCAUAGAUUAAUAGUCAAUACCAUGCACGAUUGUUUGAGUAGUAUUUUAUAUUGUUGGAGAAAUUGUUAUAUAAUUAUAGUUUUAGUCGAUUUUCUUGUGAUCUAUAAUCCAGUUUUAUUAAUCUUCUUUCUUAAACUGAAAAUUUGGGUUGUGACGUGAAAGGUGAAGAAAGUAUAGUGAGAGGAGCAGGUAAUAAUUUUUGAUACUGUGUAGGAUAUAUUUAUUGCUGGAAUUGAUACCUCAGAAUCGAUCAUGGAGUGGAGCAUGACAGAAAUGAUGAGAAACCCAACAGUGAGGGAGAAGGCACAAGCUGAGUUAAGACAAGCAUUUAAAGGGAAGAGAAUAAUCCAUGAGAGUGAUUUAGAGGAAAUUAGUUAUUUGAAGUUGGUGAUCAAAGAGACAUUGAGACUGCAUCCUCCUGUUCCCUUGUUGCUUCCUAGAGAAUGCUCUGAAGCAACCAUCAUUGAUGGCUAUGAAAUACCUAUGAAGACUAAAAUCAUGGUAAAUGUAUGGGCAAUGGGAAGAGAUCCUCAAUAUUGGGAUGAUGCUGAGAGGUUUAUGCCAGAGAGGUUUGAUGGUAGUUCCACUGAUUUCAAAGGGAACAACUUCGAGUAUCUGCCAUUUGGGGCAGGAAGAAGAAUGUGUCCAGGCAUGUCAUUUGGUUUAGCCUCCAUUAUGCUUCCUCUAGCUCUAUUACUUUAUCAUUUCAACUGGAAACUUCCAAAUGGGAUCAAACCUCAGGAUUUGGAUAUGACAGAAAACUUUGGAUUAACAAUUAGAAGGAAGGGCGUGUUGUGCUUGAUUCCUACUGUUUACGAUCCCUCCCUGCACCAGUGACAGUAGC